rnacentral:rRNA from 1 species
UACGAAGGGGGCUAGCGUUGCUCGGAUUGACUGGGCGUAAAGGGCGCGUAGGCGGCCGAUCAAGUCAGAUGUGAAAGUCCUGGGCUUAACCUGGGGGACUGCAUUUGAUACUGAUUGGCUUGAAUGCAGGAGAGGAUAGCGGAAUUCCCAGUGUAGAGGUGAAAUUCGUAGAUAUUGGGAAGAACACCGGUGGCGAAGGCGGCUAUCUGGACUGUGAUUGACGCUGGAGGCGCGAAAGCCGUGGGGAGCAAACAGG